CACAUGCAGUCGACGGCAGCAUGAUCUAGCUUGCUAGAUUGAUGGCGAGUGGCGAACGGGUGAGUAAUACAUCGGAACGUGCCCUGUAGUGGGGGAUAACUAGUCGAAAGAUUAGCUAAUACCGCAUACGACCUGAGGGUGAAAGUGGGGGACCGCAAGGCCUCAUGCUAUAGGAGCGGCCGAUGUCUGAUUAGCUAGUUGGUGAGGUAAAGGCUCACCAAGGCGACGAUCAGUAGCUGGUCGGAGAAAACAACAAACCAUAGUGGAACUGAGGCCCGCCCCACACUCCUACGGGAGGUCGCGGUGUGUUUUUUUGGAGGAGCCUCAACCUCUCCAGCCAUGCGUUGUGUAUAGAAGCGGGCCUUUGGUUGUAUUUUUUUUUGUAAAAAAAGAAAUGGCUCUAGAAAAUGCGUGGCGGCUCGACUCCCCCAGCAAAAAGAAGCCCUGCUACCUCCCCGCCCGCCGCGGCGUAAAUUAGGUGGGUCCUUUUUUUAAUAUUAAUUACUGGGAGAAAGCGGGGGCGGGGGGGCUGCCCCAAAACCUAU
rnacentral:rRNA from 1 species